AACGGACGCUGGCGGCAGGCUUAACACAUGCAAGUCGAGCGCCCCGCAAGGGGAGCGGCAGACGGGUGAGUAACACGUGGGAACGUGCCUUUAGGUUCGGAAUAACUCAGGGAAACUUGUGCUAAUACCGAAUGUGCCCUUCGGGGGAAAGAUUUAUCGCCUUUAGAGCGGCCCGCGUCUGAUUAGCUAGUUGGUGAGGUAAAGGCUCACCAAGGCGACGAUCAGUAGCUGGUCUGAGAGGAUGAUCAGCCACAUUGGGACUGAGACACGGCCAAAACUCCUACGGGAGGCAGCAGUGGGGAAUCUUGCGCAAUGGGCGAAAGCCUGACGCAGCCAUGCCGCGUGAAUGAUGAAGGUCUUAGGAUUGUAAAAUUCUUUCACCGGGGACGAUAAUGACGGUACCCGGAGAAGAAGCCCCGGCUAACUUCGUGCCAGCCGCCGCCGUAAAAC
rnacentral:rRNA from 1 species